rnacentral:rRNA from 1 species
AAUCAACGCUGGCGGCGUGCCUCAGACAUGCAAGUCGAACGCGAAAGUCCCCUUCGGGGGACAAGUAGAGUGGCGCACGGGUGAGUAACACGUAGGUAAUCUACCUUCGGAUGGGGAAUAACAACCGGAAACGGUUGCUAAUACCGCAUAAUGCAGCGGCACCUAAUGGUGACAGUUGUUAAAGCGGGGGAUCGAAAGACCUCGCGUCUGAAGAGGAGCCUGCGGCGGAUUAGCUAGNGGUAAGGUAAUGGCUUACCAAGGCGACGAUCCGUAGCCGGCCUGAGAGGGGCGGUCGGCCACACUGACACUGACAUACGGGUCAGACUCCUACGGGAGCAGCAGUCGGGAAUUUUGGGCAAUGGGCGAAAGCCUGACCCAGCAACGCCGCGUGAAGGAUGAAAUCCCUC